AGGGAUAACAGGCUAAUGACUCCUUAGAGUUCCUAUCGACGGAGUUGUUUGGCACCUCGAUGUCGGCUAGUCACAUCCUGGAGCUGAAGCAGGUUCCAAGGGUUCGGUUGUUCGCCGAUUAAAGUGGCACUUGAGCUGGGUUUAGAACGCCGUGAGGCAGUUUGGUCCCUAUCUACUGUGAGCGUAAAAAAAUUGAAAAAAUUAGACCCUAGUACGAGAGGACCGGGAA
rnacentral:rRNA from 15 species